UGGGGAAUUUUGCACAAUGGGGGAAACCCUGAUGCAGCAACGCCGCGUGGAGGAUGAAGUCCCUUGGGAUGUAAACUCCUUUCGACCGGGACGAUAAUGACGGUACCGGUGGAAGAAGCCCCGGCUAACUCUGUGCCAGCAGCCGCGGUAAUACAGAGGGGGCAAGCGUUGUUCGGAAUUAUUGGGCGUAAAGGGUGCGUAGGCGGUGCGGUAAGUCUUCUGUGAAAUCUACGGGCUCAACUCGUAGUCUGCAGGAGAAACUGCCGUGCUUGAGUAUGGGAGAGGUGAGUGGAAUUCCUGGUGUAGCGGUGAAAUGCGUAGAUAUCAGGAGGAACACCUGUGGCGAAAGCGGCUCACUGGACCAUAACUGACGCUGAGGCACGAAAGCUAGGGGAGCAAACA
rnacentral:rRNA from 1 species